CGCUUAACCCGCAAGGAUGGCGCCGACCACGGCGAGAUUCAUGACUGGGGUGA
rnacentral:rRNA from 1 species